AUGUAUUAGGCUAACAUGUGCUGCCUGGGUCGUGUCCCUUUUCAUGCGCACUCUCGUGGCACACUGAUAGGAAAAUGCGUGAAAAAUUUUGUAGCUCUUUUGUGGAUUGUCUGAGAGUUAUACAAUGCAGCUAUUACCAGUUUGCAUAUUAUUAGUUGACAUAUAAAAAACAGUUACAUUACAUAUGUACAUAUAAAAUAAUUAAUUACAGAAUUAAUAAUUAACAUUGUGUAAUAAUUGUAUAACUACAUUAUAUAAUAAUUUAGUAGAUAAUUGUUUAGAUUGUAAUUGAGUAAUUGUUUAGAUUGUAGUAACAAUAUCACAUUUAUAAUUAAGUAUGCCAAUUUGCUCUAUUUGUCAACGAAAUAUUCAAGAUUUGCGAUGAAUAUGAUUUGACGCUGAAAAACGUAGAUAAUUUUCAACGAUUCUUUUGGGGAAUCUCGCGAUUCAUUAUUUUCGUUAUUUCUGUACAACUCCUGAAAUAGUUGCUCGUGUGAUCCGCUCUUUUAUAAGCAGUACCUGCAAAAGCACGUUAGUUGCAGAAAAUUGCAGAUAUGUGAUAUUUGAUCGAGCACUGAAGUAAUGCGCUUUUCUUGAUUUGAUCGCUGAAUUGGAAAUUUGCAUCGUUGAACUUCUUUGUAAAUCCGGCGCAGCCUUUAUAGGUCUCCGAAUGGUUAUCGUCGCAUAGGUCACAUUUCGAGUUGCCUCGGAUUUCAUAGUCACAUUUUAUAGUUGCAUGGCUCGAUCUGUGCUUGACAUACGUAUGACAAAUACGAGUGCAUUUGCAAAACUAGCACGAACGUGAUCAUCUGAUCUCACGAUUUUUGUAAUGCGUAUUGGAAACGAUAUUGUUUUGCCGUGUAGCUCCAAUCAAUCAACUGGUGUGCAAUCUUUUGAGAAAUAUUACGCCAACAUCAAUAAUUAAUACCAAGAACUGAUGUUUCAGGACGCUAACAGGUUUUUGAUUGGAAUCGCCGACCGACCGACCGGCACAAGAAGUCCCAUUGAUUUCCGGCCUCGACAUCUUUCGCAGCUUCAAUACCAUCACUCGACGCGUCUCCGCCGAAGCUGUGAACGAUAUUCAAGUUUUAAGGUGUACUUUGUGUGCUACAACGUGUAUUGGUAAGUACCUUUUGUUACAGUAGAGCGUGCCGCUUUUUGUUCUCGAAGGACCGGUCUCGAUGGUGCCGAUAAUGAUACAUUAACCCGGAGCUUAAACUCAAUUUUGGCGUCACAAUUUGCCGCUCAUUUUAGAGAGCAAUUUCGUGCUUUCGCAUCCCCUGGAGGAGCCGAUUACGGCCGCGAAUUUAUGAGAACCGAAGUAAGGGUAGAAACGGAAAGAGGUACUUGUUGCAUUCACCGUGUUAAUUAGUUGUGACGUAGUAAUAGCGAACUGCAGCACCUUGCGCAUAAUAUUUUGCAUUGCAAGAACUGCGGUUUUCGUAAUGGUUCUUGCGAGAAUGCAUUCACCGUUGCUAAAAUAUCUUGAAAGUGCAUAGGAUAAUAACCCAAAUUGUUGGAAUAAUACCCUCAACAUUUGAACACACAGAUUUGUUCUGAAUAUGUGCACAAUGUGCACUUUGCACAAUAUGUCAACUCCAUACUACAUUCAAUUUAUUUUUAAAACUUAUGAUAAAAAAUAAACGUCACACUUACAAGUAAUAUUUUCAAUCAUUAAAAUUUUGUUAGAAUUAGAAGUGGAAAAAGAAAUUAUUGUUACAUAAAUUACUAAUAUUUCUGAUAACGACAUUUUAAAGUAAUAACGUUACACGUGUCAAAA
rnacentral:lncRNA from 1 species